UAACACAUGCAAGUCGAACGAGAGGAGAAGGAAGCUUGCUUCUUUCAAAUCUAGUGGCAAACGGGUGCCUAACACGUAAACAACCUGCCUUCAGGAUGGGGACAACAGACGGAAACGACUGCUAAUACCGAAUACGUUCCUUAGGUCGCAUGACUUUAGGAAGAAAGGGUGGCCUCUACUUGUAAGCUAUCGCCUGAAGAGGGGUUUGCGUCUGAUUAGGUAGUUGGUGAGGUAACGGCCCACCAAGCCGACGAUCAGUAGCCGGUCUGAGAGGAUGAACGGCCACACUGGAACUGAGACACGGUCCAGACUCUUACGGGAGGCAGCAGUGGGGAAUCUUCCGCAAUGGGCGAAAAGCCUGACGGAGCAAACGUCGCGUGAGUGAAGACGGCCUUCGGGUUGUAAAGCUCUGUGAUCGGGGACGAACGGUCGGCAGACCAAUACUCUGCUGAAGUGACGGUACCCGAAUAGCAAGCCACGGCUAACUACGUGCCAGCAGCCGCGGUAAUACGUAGGUGGCAAGCGUUGUCCGGAAUUAUUGGGCGUAAAGCGCGCGCAGGCGGCUUCUUAAGUCCAUCUUAAAAGUGCGGGGCUUAACCCCGGGAUGGGAUGGAAACUGAGAGGCUGGAGUAUCGGAGAGGAAAGUGGAAUUCCUAGUGUAGCGGUGAAAUGCGUAGAGAUUAGGAAGAACACCGGUGGCGAAGGCGACUUUCUGGACGACAACUGACGCUGAGGCGCGAAAGCGUGGGGAGCAAACAGGAUUAGAUACCCUGGUAGUCCACCCCGUAA
rnacentral:rRNA from 1 species